rnacentral:rRNA from 1 species
CCCUUAGAUGUCCUGGGCUGCACGCGCGCUACACUGAUGUGUCCAGUAAGCACCUAACCUCUUCCGAAAGGAACGGGUAACCUUUGCAAAGCACAUCGUGAUGGGGAUAGAUUAUUGCAAUUAUUAGUCUUGAACGAGGAAUUCCUAGUAAGCACAAGUCAUCAGCUUGCGUUGAUUACGUCCCUGCCCUUUGUACACACCGCCCGUCGCUCCUACCGAUUGAAUGGCUUAGUGAGCCUUUGGGAUUGGCAGCCAACACCGGCAACGGUAGCUGGCCGCCGAAAACUUAUGCAAACUUGGUCAUUUAGAGGAAGUAAAAGUCGUAACA